CCACAGAGAAGGGACAUUCACACAUCUUACUUCCUGUCCCAGCCCCAGAGCCUAAGGAGGGACUGGCCUGGGUAGAAGACAACAGCUUGCUCCAAUAGAAACUACCUGAGGGGC